UUCAUCAUGGUAUAGUGGUUUGAACGUUGGACUUGGGCUCUGGAGAUCAGGGUUCGAAUCCCAGCUCAGCCAUGAAA
rnacentral:tRNA from 1 species